rnacentral:rRNA from 1 species
UACGAAGGGGGCUAGCGUUGUUCGGAAUUACUGGGCGUAAAGCGUAGGUAGGUGGUUUUCUAAGUCAGGGGUGAAAUCCCAGAGCUCAACUCUGGAAUUGCCUUUGAAACUGGAAAGCUAGAGAAAGUUAGAGGCAAGUGGAAUUCCUAGUGUAGGAGUGAAAUCCGUAGAUAUUAGGAGGAACAUCGAUGGCGAAGGCAGCUUGCUGGGACUUUACUGACACUGAGCUACGAAAGCGUGGGUAGCAAACAGG